rnacentral:rRNA from 1 species
GACGAACGCUGGCGGCGUGCCUAAUACAUGCAAGUAGAACGCUGAAGGAGGAGCUUGCUUCUCUGGAUGAGUUGCGAACGGGUGAGUAACGCGUAGGUAACCUGCCUGGUAGCGGGGGUUAACUAUUGGAAACGAUAGCUAAUACCGCAUAAUAGCAGUUAUUGCAUGAUAACUGUUUGAAAGGUGCAAUUGCACCACUACCAGAUGGACCUGCGUUGUAUUAGCUAGUUGGUGGGGUAACGGCUCACCAAGGCGACGAUACAUAGCCGACCUGAGAGGGUGAUCGGCCACACUGGGACUGAGACACGGCCCAGACUCCUACGGGAGGCAGCAGUAGGGAAUCUUCGGCAAUGGACGGAAGUCUGACCGAGCAACGCCGCGUGAGUGAAGAAGGUUUUCGGAUCGUAAAGCUCUGUUGUAAGAGAAGAACGAGUGUGAGAGUGGAAAGUUCACACUGUGACGGUAUCUUACCAGAAAGGGACGGCUAACUACGUG